rnacentral:rRNA from 1 species
UACUGGGCGUAAAGAGCGCGUAGGUGGUUUUUUAAGUCAGGUGUGAAAUCCCUAGGCUCAACCUAGGAACUGCAUUUGAAACUGGAAAACUAGAGUUUCGUAGAGGGAGGUAGAAUUCUAGGUGUAGCGGUGAAAUGCGUAGAUAUCUGGAGGAAUACCCGUGGCGAAAGCGGCCUCCUAAACGAAAACUGACACUGAGGCGCGAAAGCGUGGGGAGCAAACAGGAUUAGAUACCCUGGUAGUCCAUGCCGUAAACGAUGUCGACUUGGAGGUUGUUUCCAAGAGAAGUGACKUCCGAAGCUAACGCAUUAAGUCGACCGCCUGGGGAGUACGGCCGCAAGGCUAAAACUCAAAGG